UACGAAGGGGGCGGGCGUUGUUCGGAUUUACUGGGCGUAAAGGGCGCGUAGGCGGCCUUGUCAGUCAGGCGUGAAAGCCCCGGGCUCAACCUGGGAACGGCGCUUGGGACGGCGAGGCUGGAGUUCGGGAGAGGAGAGUGGAAUUCCCAGUGUAGAGGUGAAAUUCGUAGAUAUUGGGAAGAACACCGGUGGCGAAGGCGGCUCUCUGGACCGACACUGACGCUGAGGCGCGAAAGCGUGGGGAGCGAUCCGG
rnacentral:rRNA from 1 species